rnacentral:rRNA from 1 species
GACGAACGCUGGCGGCGUGCUUAACACAUGCAAGUCGAACGCUGAAGCUUGGUGCUUGCACUGGGUGGAUGAGUGGCGAACGGGUGAGUAAUACGUGAGUAACCUGCCCUUGACUCUGGGAUAAGCCUGGGAAACUGGGUCUAAUACUGGAUACGACAUGUCACCGCAUGGUGGUGUGUGGAAAGGGUUUUACUGGUUUUGGAUGGGCUCACGGCCUAUCAGCUUGUUGGUGGGGUAAUGGCUCACCAAGGCGACGACGGGUAGCCGGCCUGAGAGGGUGACCGGCCACACUGGGACUGAGACACGGUCCAGACUCCUACGGGAGGCAGCAGUGGGGAAUAUUGCACAAUGGGCGGAAGCCUGAUGCAGCGACGCCGCGUGAGGGAUGGCGGCCUUCGGGUUGUAAACCUCUUUCAGCACGGAAGAAGCGAAAGUGACGGUACGUGCAGAAGAAGCGCCGGCUAACUACGUG